AACGCUAGCUACAGGCUUAACACAUGCAAGUCGAGGGGCAGCGGAGUUGAUGGCUUGCCAUUAACUGCCGGCGACCGGCGCACGGGUGAGUAACACGUAUGCAACCUACCCAUAGCAGGGGGAUAAGCGGGAGAAAUUCCGUCUAAUACCGCGUAAGAUCACGGUCGGACAUCCGACAGGGAUAAAAGGUAGCGAUACCGGCUAUGGAUGGGCAUGCGGCGCAUUAGUUAGUUGGCGGGGUAACGGCCCACCAUGUCCGCGAUGUCUAGGGGUUCUGAGAGGAAGGUCCCCCACACUGGAACUGAGACACGGUCCAGACUCCUACGGGAGGCAGCAGUGAGGAAUAUUGGUCAAUGGCCGGAAGGCUGAACCAGCCAAGUAGCGUGAAGGAUGAAGGUUCUAUGGAUUGUAAACUUCUUUUAUGAGGGAAUAAAACCUCCCACGUGUGGGAGCUUGUAUGUACCUUAUGAAUAAGCAUCGGCUAACUCCGUGCCAGCAGCCGCGGUAAUACGGAGGAUGCGAGCGUUAUCCGGAUUUAUUGGGUUUAAAGGGAGCGUAGACGGGAGAUUAAGUCAGCUGUGAAAGUUUGAGGCCCAACCUUAAAAUUGCAGUUGAUACUGGUUUCCUUGAGUGCGGUUGAGGUGUAUGGAAUUCGUGGUGUAGCGGUGAAAUGCUUAGAUAUCACGAAGAACUCCGAUUG
rnacentral:rRNA from 1 species